UACGUAGGGUGCGAGCGUUGUCCGGAAUUAUUGGGCGUAAAGGGCUCGUAGGCGGUUUGUCGCGUCGGGAGUGAAAACCCCAGGGCUUAACCCUGGGCUGGCUUUCGAUACGGGCAGACUAGAGGUAUGCAGGGGGAGAACGGAAUUCCUGGUGUAGCGGUGAAAUGCGCAGAUAUCAGGAGGAACACCGGUGGCGAAGGCGGUUCUCUGGGCAUUACCUGACGCUGAGGAGCGAAAGUGUGGGGAGGCGAAUAGG
rnacentral:rRNA from 1 species